rnacentral:rRNA from 1 species
CUUUCCCUCUGUCGGCAGGCCUAACACAUGCAAGUCGAACGGUAACAGGAAGAAGCUUGCUUCUUUGCUGACGAGUGGCGGACGGGUGAGUAAUGUCUGGGAAACUGCCUGAUGGAGGGGGAUAACUACUGGAAACGGUAGCUAAUACCGCAUAACGUCGCAAGACCAAAGAGGGGGACCUUCGGGCCUCUUGCCAUCGGAUGUGCCCAGAUGGGAUUAGCUAGUAGGUGGGGUAACGGCUCACCUAGGCGACGAUCCCUAGCUGGUCUGAGAGGAUGACCAGCCACACUGGAACUGAGACACGGUCCAGACUCCUACGGGAGGCAGCAGUGGGGAAUAUUGCACAAUGGGCGCAAGCCUGAUGCAGCCAUGCCGCGUGUAUGAAGAAGGCCUUCGGGUUGUAAAGUACUUUAAGCGGGGAGGAAGGGAGUAAAGUUAAUACCUUUGCUCAUUGACGUUACCCGCAGAAGAAGCACCGGCUAACUCCGUG